rnacentral:rRNA from 1 species
CCUACGGGAGGCAGCAGUGAGGAAUAUUGGUCAAUGGGCGCGAGCCUGAACCAGCCAAGUCGCGUGAGGGAUGACGGUCCUACGGAUUGUAAACCUCUUUUGCCGGGGAGCAAGCGUGCGUUCGUGAACGCGCGUCGAGAGUACCCGGAGAAAAAGCAUCGGCAAUCCCGGGGCCAGCAGCCGCGGUAAUACGGAGGAUGGGAGUGUUACCGGGAUUUAUGGGGUUUAAGGGGUGGGAGGGCGGGAGGCCAGGUCACUGGGAAAUAUGCGGGGCCAAACCGCGCCGAGCCGUGGGAACUGGCGUGCUUGAGUGGGCGAGAAGUAGGCGGAAUGCGUGGUGUAGCGGUGAAAUGCUUAGAUAUGACGCAGAACCCCGAUUGCGAAGGCAGCAUGCUGGCGCCCUACUGACGCUGAGGCACGAAAGCGUGGGUAUCGAACAGGAUUAGAUACCCCUGUAGUC